rnacentral:misc_RNA from 1 species
GAAAUGCGAUAAGUAAUGUGAAUUGCAGAAUUCAGUGAAUCAUCGAAUCUUUGAACGCAUCUUGCGCUCCUUGGUAUUCCUUGGAGCAUGCCUGUUUGAGUAUCAUGAAAUCUUCAAAGUAAAUCUUUUGUUAACUCAAUUGGUUUCUACUUUGGUAUUGGAGGUCUUUGCAGCUUCACACCUGCUCCUCUUUGUUCAUUAGCUGGAUCUCAGUGUUAUGCUUGGUUCCACUCGGCGUGAUAAGUUAUCUAUCGCUGGACACUGUAAAAGGUGGCCAAGGUAAAUGCAGAUGAACCGCUUCUAAUAGUCCAUUGACUUGGACAAUACUUUUAUGAUCUGAUCUCAAAUCAGGUAGGACUACCCGCUGAACUUAAGC